AGUAGGCCAGACAGUUGCGGGGACAAGGCGAAAGCCUGUUCAUGAGGAAAGUCCGGGCUCCACAGGGCAAGGAUAACGGGUAACGCCCGCCGAAGGCGACUUCAGGAAAAGUGCAACAGAGAUAUACCGCCGCGUCACAUCCCCAAAAUGGGGACCUCCGCAAAAACGUCAGUUUUUGUGGGGAGAUAAGGUACAGCGAAGUGAUUUUGGCCUGCCGUUUGCGGCCGGACGAAAGCUAUGGAGCUGGCACCGACGAGGUAAGGGUGGAAAGGCGAGGUAAGAGCUCACCCGACGGCGCGUGAAAGUGACCGUCGCUGUAAACUCUAUUCGGAGCAACACCGGUAUGGGAGCAUAUAGGCUGGCCCGGCCGCUCCCGGGGUGGCUUGAGCGUGCCGGCAACGGUACGCCCAGAUAGAUGACUGUCGAAACAGAACCCGGCUUAUAGGUCUGCUCG
rnacentral:RNase_P_RNA from 1 species